rnacentral:rRNA from 1 species
UGGGGAAUAUUGCACAAUGGGCGCAAGCCUGAUGCAGCCAUGCCGCGUGUGUGAAGAAGGCCUUCGGGUUGUAAAGCACUUUCAGCGGGGAGGAAGGGAGUAAAGUUAAUACCUUUGCUCAUUGACGUUACCCGCAGAAGAAGCACCGGCUAACUCCGUGCCAGCAGCCGCGGUAAUACGGAGGGUGCAAGCGUUAAUCGGAAUUACUGGGCGUAAAGCGCACGCAGGCGGUUUGUUAAGUCAGAUGUGAAAUCCCCGGGCUCAACCUGGGAACUGCAUCUGAUACUGGCAAGCUUGAGUCUUGUAGAGGGGGGUAGAAUUCCAGGUGUAGCGGUGAAAUGCGUAGAGAUCUGGAGGAAUACCGGUGGCGAAGGCGGCCCCCUGGACAAAGACUGACGCUCAGGUGCGAAAGCGUGGGGAGCAAACAGG